GGGUUUACCCAUUGGUCAGGCUUAAUUGUCUGCACUGGUGAGAUGAAUCUCUACCUUCUGAGGAACUUUCAUGCCAUUUAUUUGGUGUGAUGGGAAAUCAGGACUGUUACUUUGAAAAAAUUAGAGUGUUUAAAGCAGGCUAACGUCUGAAUACAUUAGCAUGGAAUAAUGAAAUAGGACGGACUGAUUCUAUUUCGUUGGUUUCUAGGAUCACCGUA
rnacentral:rRNA from 1 species